rnacentral:sRNA from 1 species
GCCAGGCACGAUGGCUCAUGCCUGUAAUCCCAGUGACUCGGGAGGCUGAGGCAGGAGGAUCGUGAGUUCAAAGCCAGCUUCAGCAAUUUAGUGAGACACUAAUCAACUCAGCAAGACCCUCUCUCUA